CUACGGGUGGCACCAGUGAGGAAUUUUGCGCAAUGGGGGCAACCCUGACGCAGCAACGCCGCGUGAGUGAUGAAGGCCUUAGGGUCGUAACGCUCUGUCAAGUGGAAAGAAGUUACGUAUAAUUAAAAGUUGUAUGUAUUGACGGUACCACUAAAGGAAGCACCGGCUAACUCCGUGCCAGCAGCCGCGGUAACACGGGGGGUGCAAGCGUUAUUCGGAAUUAUUGGGCGUAAAGGGCACGUAGGCGGUUUGUCAAGUCAGAUGUGAAAGCCCGGGGCUCACCCUGGGAAGUGCAUUUGAAACUGGCAGACUUGAGUAUGGUAGAGGGAAGUGGAAUUCCUGGUGUAGAGGUGAAAUUCGUAGAUAUCAGGAGGAACACCGGUGGCGAAGGCGACUUCCUGGACCAAUACUGACGCUGAUGUGCGAAGGCGUGGGGAGCAAACAGGAUUAGAUACCCGAGUAGUC
rnacentral:rRNA from 1 species